rnacentral:siRNA from 1 species
UUGGCCAAUCAUACAUUUCAUUGCC